rnacentral:rRNA from 1 species
CACAUGCAAGUCGAGGGGAAACGACAUCGAAAGCUUGCUUUUGAUGGGCGUCGACCGGCGCACGGGUGAGUAACGCGUAUCCAACCUGCCCACCACUUGGGGAUAACCUUGCGAAAGUAAGACUAAUACCCAAUGAUAUCUCUAGAAGACAUCUGAAGGAGAUUAAAGAUUUAUCGGUGAUGGAUGGGGAUGCGUCUGAUUAGCUUGUUGGCGGGGUAACGGCCCACCAAGGCGACGAUCAGUAGGGGUUCUGAGAGGAAGGUCCCCCACAUUGGAACUGAGACACGGUCCAAACUCCUACGGGAGGCAGCAGUGAGGAAUAUUGGUCAAUGGACGAGAGUCUGAACCAGCCAAGUAGCGUGCAGGAUGACGGCCCUAUGGGUUGUAAACUGCUUUUAUAAGGGAAUAAAGUGAGUCUCGUGAGGCUUUUUGCAUGUACCUUAUGAAUAAGGACCGGCUAAUUCCGUGCCAGCAGCCGCGGUAAUACGGAAGGUCCGGGCGUUAUCCGGAUUUAUUGGGUUUAAAGGGAGCGUAGGCCGGAGAUUAAGCGUGUUGUGAAAUGUAGGUGCUCAACAUCUGCACUGCAGCGCGAACUGGUUUCCUUGAGUACGCACAAAGUGGGCGGAAUUCGUGGUGUAGCGGUGAAAUGCUUAGAUAUCACGAAGAACUCCGAUUGCGAAGGCAGCUCACUGGAGCGCAACUGACGCUGAAGCUCGAAAGUGCGGGUAUCGAACAGGAUUAGAUACCCUGGUAGUCCGCACGGUAAACGAUGGAUGCCCGCUGUUGGUCUGAAUAGGUCAGCGGCCAAGCGAAAGCAUUAAGCAUCCCACCUGGGGAGUACGCCGGCAACG